rnacentral:rRNA from 1 species
UGGGGAAUUUUGGACAAUGGGGGAAACCCUGAUCCAGCCAUGCCGCGUGCGGGAAGAAGGCCUUCGGGUUGUAAACCGCUUUUGUCCGGGAAGAAAUGACCUCCCCUAAUACGGGGGGUUCCUGACGGUACCGGAAGAAUAAGCACCGGCUAACUACGUGCCAGCAGCCGCGGUAAUACGUAGGGUGCGAGCGUUAAUCGGAAUUACUGGGCGUAAAGCGUGCGCAGGCGGUUCGCUAAGUCUGAUGUGAAAGCCCCGGGCUCAACCUGGGAAUGGCAUUGGAAACUGGCGGGCUUGAGUGUGGCAGAGGGGGGUGGAAUUCCACGUGUAGCAGUGAAAUGCGUAGAGAUGUGGAGGAACACCGAUGGCGAAGGCAGCCCCCUGGGCUAACACUGACGCUCAGGCACGAAAGCGUGGGGAGCAAACAGG